GUUGAGAAUAAUGAUAAAUUAAACUCAAAAUUGGACAUACGGUAGACAUAUUGUAACAAUCGAAUACAUAUGUAACUACAUGUAUUUACAUUCAUUAGUCUUAGCUACAAUACGACGUUAAGCAUAGUUGUGACUACAGCAAAUAUUGACAUUUAAACAAGAUAUUGGCGAGAAGACAGUUAUUGUUAAAAUCGAUGCACUGGUGAACAUAAGAAUGCAACACUUUAAAAGAAAGUGUCUUCGCCUUAUCAUACUGUUACUUAUUGCGAUAUAUUCUACAGGUGUGUAGACAUGAACAAAAUGAUCAUUCCAUUGAGCAUUUAUUCGAUGAUCGACACUAGUAUUUUAGUCUACUCAUGCAAUAAGAAAACAUAAGGCAACCAAAACAAGCUAGCUUAACAAAUACAAAAAGAGUACUCGCUCUACAAAAUACUGCGUAGUAGUAGUUGUAGUAGUAGUAGUAGUAGUAGUAGUAGUAGUAGUAGUAGUAGUAGUAGUAGUAGUAGUAGUAGUAGAAGUAGUAGUAGUAGUAGUAGUAGUAGUAGUAGUAGUAGAAGUAGUAGUAGUAGUAGUAGUAGUAGUAGUAGUAGUAGUAGUAGUAGUAGUAGUAGUAGUAGUAGUAGUAGUGGUAGUAGUAAUAGUAGUAGUAGUAGUAGUAGUAGUAGUAGUAGUAGUAGUAGUAGUAGUAGUAGUAACAUGAUGUGCUAACAUUGUUUUUGCGUUUUCAGGUGAUUUGCGUUAUUAACAGAUAUGCAUUAAUGAUAUUAGUUUAUUAAACACUUCUCUUAUCGAGUUAUGUUCAUCAUUGUUGUGCAGGUAAAUAUAGCUCUUUAUUCCACCUUGUUAACGAUAAUUGAAAAUAAAUGGUUCAGUGAAGUUUUAACAACUAGUAUUUGAAAGUAUUUUACAAUUUGCCUUAUUGUAAUGUUUCAUUACACCACGCGCGGGAAACGUAAAAAUAGAGCUUAUGUAUUGAACAUUCGAACAUUUAAUUAUCUUAAAUCCAUUCGUUCACACGUUUACAGUACCCUGAGAAAAUCAAAUAAAACUGAUCGAACACCGAACAAUAAUCUUUAUUCAAACAUGUACAUACACUUUUUUUAGACAGAUGGCAGAAGGCACUAAUCAGCCGCAUGGGUCAGAAAGUGCGCCAUGUUGCAACACCUCUAGCAAUAGUCGCACUCGGAUAAGCGAUGAAGAUGAAUCUGUGGAACUGAGCAAUGUUUUAAACAUGCUGGGAUAUGGGCAUGAGCUUAGACAGAAACGCCGGGAAUGCUAUAAGGACUUAGACAGAAUAGAAACUGCACAGUGGGGGUUUGGUAACUGUGAUUUUAUCACAGUCGGAAGUAAGGCAGAGGGGAUUUCUCGUUAUCUUGAAAGUGAUAUGGACAUCUUAUGUGUUAACAACUUUGUAAAAUGCAUAGAAGCGGGUUGUGACAUAAACUCAAUUCCAGAGAACACAUCAGUUUGCAGAAUGGAUACUACGAUAUGUUAUCCAGGACAUUGCUUACUGCUGCUCGAGCGAGGAUUCCCAUUACUACUUUUGUUAGCAAUGUGCGAUAAUGGACAUGGGCAAAUUCUUCUUAGUAGUGACGCUUGUGUAAAUAUUCUUCAAAUGAGUUCACACUUUUUAAGAGGACCCUUUCCAAAUGAAAGAGCGGGGCCGUCACUGCCAUUCACUAUUGGAUACUCUAACGCUGACCUUGUUUAUGCAUUUCGCUGUCAUUGUCCUAGCAUACUUCAUAGAUGGGCAUCCCGAUCUCGACAUUGGCCGCCAUUUAAUAUUGUGGAAAAGGUCGUAUCAAUGGGAGCUUUUCUAACUCCUGUUGGGUUUAAAGGAAGCGAAAAUAAUCAUAUUGAGUGGAGGAUUUGUUUCAACACAGGUGAGGCAGAAUUGAUGAUUAAUCUGAACGACGCACAAAUUAAAUUAUAUGUGUUGUUGAAAAUGAUUGGGAAAGAUGUACUGAAACCACGACAUAAGGAAAUAACAUCUUACAUGUUAAAAAAUAUAGUUCUAUGGCUCGCUGAGAAAAACCCACAGUCAAUGUUUCAUGAGAAGAGCUUGUUUUUCUGGAUUCGUGAAUCGCUACUGGAGCUAAGAACUGCACUGUCCAAAAAACAACUUCCAUACUAUAUGAUUCCGGAGAGGAACCUAAUGGCAGCCACUGGAGUGACCGAUACGCAGAAUCGAAGAUGGAUCGCAACACUUACGGACAUGUUGGAUGAAGGUCCGGCGAUAAUUCGGAGGCUGCCGCUGAUACGACAAGCCAUUAUCUCCCACCCGGAUCCUUUCAUCUGGUACAAUACGAGAAGAAUCGAACUGGAGAUUAUUUUAUUAGAAUCAAUAAAAAGUGGUCUAUACUCGAAUGGAAACUACUUGGUAAACAUGUUCGAUUAUUUGCUUCGAAAUAGUCUGAUGUGGCGUUUUGUAGUGAUAGUGAAUGAAGUUUUUACAAACUUAUCCGGGAAAGAAAUUAUGGACACAUAUAGUGUUUUUGAGCUUUUCCAUAUAUUUAGCAGAUUUUUAAUGUAAAACAUUAAAAACUAUACACAUUCCGUUAUAUGUACAUACCUGUUUUUAUGAUAGGAGACUUUUAUUAGAAAUUGUUGUGUACGAUUUUCAAUUGAAGUAUGUGCGUUGACCUGAGCAGGAUGUAUUAAAUCGUAUGUCCGGCGAUUGUCAAAAUAUUGAUAAGCAAUACUGUUUACUUCGUAUAUGCCGAUAUAAUAUAAUCAAUAUCAAAAACUGCAUGUAUAUCCACAUUAAUUAAUUCUUAUAUAAUUAUGAGUAAACAAGUUUUUGAUUUUUUGUUCAAACGCAUGCAAUAACGUGUUUGAUGCGUAUAAUGUGCGCAUGCGCUUGCAUUAGAUUACAACUGUUAUCGCCCUCGUGGUGUAAUUCCUAUCCAUCGGUUUUACAAACAAUUGGUUAUUAUUGCAGUCGCCAACACUUAGACGUACACUAUUUAUUUUUCUUAAAAUCAUGUUAACUUGUUACCAAUCACUUCUCAAAAUUGUAAACAUUGUGUAUAAUCAUUAUCUUAUGAGAAUAUUAACUAUUUCAGGGUUAAGCGUUCAACGUUUUGUUCUUCAUAAGCGCCUAUGUACAGCGUAUUAAAAUAUCAUGCCACGUAAAAUAUAGCUUUGAUAUCAGUCAUGUUUUUAAUAAUGAUAUUUAUAUACUGUACUCAUGUUCACUUAUGCUAUGAAUACUACAUUAACAUUUCACAUAUUAAUGAGGUACAUAAGUAUGUGUUUUGUAACAAUCAAAACAUGAAUGUCACGGUGGAUGGAGUUAUUUGUAUCAUCUAGAAGCUGCAUUUAUAUUUUGACGAUGUACUUCGCGCAUAGAUAAGAAAAUUACUAUUGCAAUAAUUGAUCUGUGAUGAGGGUUUUCAAUACAUCAGUAUUUCGUACCAACAGAACAUUGGAAGGUAAUAAAUAUAGUGGUAUAAUGCGCGUCAUACUAUUCCAAAUUUCAAGUCCCAACCACUUCCAUUGUUUUUAAAGGAGUAUUUGUAUAAUUUAGUUUAUUUAACGUGACAAAUAUCGUAUAUAUUUAAUUCUACCACGGCACGUGACUUGUUUUCUAUAUACAAAGAAUGAAAACUGUUGGUUAUUACCCCGAUAUACCAACGAUUGUUUAAAGUGACGUCACUUUGAUUGUCCGCGCACUAUUUAUGAAUGAAGACGACGUCAUUUGAUUUUAUUUGUUGUGGUGACGUCACGUUUUCGCGGAAAAGUGGAGGACAUUUGGUUGAUAUAAUUCUUCUUUAUAAACUUUAAAUCGCGUGUAACCUAUUAAUGAAAUCGUGUUAGAAUCGAAAUAAUCGACGGAUAACCGUUGUUUAUUGCGGUAAUAACCAACGGUAUGUCGUUCCGAUUCUUGUUGUCAAACCACUCGGGCUACGCCCUCAUGGUUUAAUUCCUACGCAUCGGAACUCCAUACCGUUGGUUAUUACCGCAAUAACCAACGGUUACCCGUCGAUUAUUUCAUAAAUAUAUUUUGGAUUAUUUAUGAGCUAUUAUACCUUAAUAUGUUGUUGUUUAUCUGUUAGUACAUGUUUUUGCUUGUUUGCCAAUGUUUUUGUUUAUGAAAAUAAUGUUUUAUAUCGUUGAUUGUUGUCACAUAACCCACUGUCAGAAGUAUAUAUGCGUAUGCAUUGCGAAGCACGACUGAUAUGAGAGCUCGUAUCUAUAAUCCUGACCACAUGUAAGUCGACAACAAACUUUGUUAGAAAACUGUUUAUAUCAGUGUCGCAUAUUAAAGAUCCAUCUGCCAUAGUGUAUGAUACCCGAACGAAAUAUAAUGGCAGCUUGCAGACUGAAUGAAGAGCAAACACAUACCUGGGUAGUAACAAUAACAGAUAUGAUGAACGAGGGUCAGAAGAUAUUAUUAAUAUAAAGAAGUGAAACUCCGACUGCUGGGGCAGUAUUGAAUUCUUAUUAUAUACAAUUAGUUGGUCCUUUAUUUAAGGCAAGUGACCAAUUGCCAAAACAGUACAAAACAGCACAAAACAUUGCCGAAGAUAAGGAAAGCUAUAAUCUCUCACCCGGAGCCACUUGUGUGGUACAGUAAAAAGAAAGUGGAGGUUGAACUGCUGCACCUUAAGCACUUGAAUAGAUACUUCCAGUGCAGGUUUGAGAAUUGUGUUGCACAUGAGUCGGCGAUAUCGGAUCCUAUGCUGCAGGCGAUUAAGAGACGUAAGGAUGAGAUAGUGAGAGAGGUCUAUCAGAAGAUGUAUUGGGAAGGAAGUCAGGUUGAUGAUCUGGAUGAUAUAUAUGACAAGAUGAUGAUUUAAUGGUCUUAUUUUGCAACACUGGUCGUAAAUAAGGGGUAUGCAAUUGUUAACAUUGUCGAAAAGUAUACACACAUGUAUAUAUUCAUUCUUUAAUGAAUGCGUAUUUAUUGCGAAACUGAUCCCUUUAUUCUAGAAAUGUUGUCUUAUAAAGAACAUUAAUAAUCACAUGUUAUGUUACCAUAGACCAUUUAAAGGAUACAUAGGCAUUCAUCCCUCUUUAAGCUUUAUCCGUGUAAAUGCUGGCUGAUCUCAAGUGUAUUUAAAGGUUAUGUAAUAUCAUGGGUCAUUAUUUUAACCAUCAUUACAGCAUAACAAAAUGUUGUCAGCACGUUUUCCCACGGUUUAAUAAUAUACUGACAGUGAAUGUACACCUUCCGUUUCGACGAUGGGAGAAUUCGUGUUAUUGAAUAUUUCAACUUCUAAAAUGCCCAGAAAUGACAGACUGACAAAAUUACGGUGGCACUAAGGUGAGAUCACCGCUCAAAAAAAAAAGAAGUCGGGAAAACACAAGUUCUGUUGUUCCGUUUCCAAAAAAAAAUAACUCGGGGAAACACAAAAUUAAUCUGUUUUCACGAGUUAUUUUUUUGUUGUUGAAAAACAGCAUGUUAAACAAAUUAAACGCAUAAGUAUUAUUAAUUUAAAACUUUAACUUAUGAAAAAGACUAGUAAAUGUUAACCAUUUCAGUAUCGCUAUAUGCCGAAAGUGUUGAUUUAAUUUGUACUAACAUAUAUAUUAUGGGUUUUUUAAACUAAAUACUGUUAACCAGGGAUAAUUUACUCGUAAAAGCGUAACUUGAUUACAGAGAUAAGAAAUUGACUACAAAACAAAUCCAAAGUACGGGACAUUCUUAACCACACCGGUUUUACCGAUGAAUGGCUUUUUCCUCUAUCUGUGAAAACUGUUCGAGUUACGAAUGUAAACCGGUUAUAAAAAACACAGAGCACUAUACCAGUGUAUCAUUAAUUGGAAUGUCAGUGUUACAUGGUCUUCAUCAAUAAUUUUAUAUAAGGGACUAAAUCCUGUAUUUGAAAGAUCAUCGUCUAUUGAUAUUUGUGAUAUUUCAACGCAUAGGAACAUUACAGCUAAACGUUUGUCGUCUCUUAAGUUAUCGAUCGAAAUGGAAAUACACCAUACCAUUGUCAGAGAUCAACGCAAAUGUGAGGUACGACAUUCCAGCCUAUACGUAUCUUCUACGGCAGUUAAGCUGGCCAAAGUCAACGAUCAGCUGUGUGAAGUCUAGUUCUAGGAGGACUUUACAUUCAAUAGACAGUUUGGCAGUGCUGUCAAGCUUUCCUGACUCAUGGUGUUCCGCAGAUAGUUUUUCACGCGAUAUAAUGUUGAAAAUGACCUCUCACCCUUGACAUUUAUUAACUGGAAUUGUUAAGUUUACGUAUUCGUACAGCGAUGGCAACGUUUGGAAAGGUGGUCUGUAGUAACUCCAUCUAACUUUAGCAGUUCACUCAUGUGGGUGAUGGUUCUGUCUUGGACCGCUUCCAGAUAGCAUAGCAAAUCAAACCGAACUUAACUAUCCAGAUGUUGUCAUGACCUUACGGGCAAGUUGUACAUUUAACAGAGACAAUAAUGGAUCUGAAUGUAUAUACAACACAGAACAAAAAUUGAUAGCAUAGUAUAUAAAAGCGAACUAAACGGUUACAAUUGGAUAUAUGUACAUCGGGAAAGUGCAAUCCUGAUAGAGUCGUGAUAUGGAGUAAUACAGAAAGAUCAAACAUAGGGAAAGUGGCCUUGCCGUUAAAAAUCGGGGGCUCAAGGCUGCAGCCUUGUUAGCCUAGUGCGUAUUCCAGCCCUGUAUAUAAAACAGUUCCGUAGUAAACACAGAUAACUGUUAUUAUUGACAUUUAAAAGGUGCGUGGAGAACUAAGCCAAUGGUGUGAUAAAUUGUGUGUUUCUUCUUAAUUGACGAAUACAUGUUUUAUUAAUGCAAGUUCAAACUCAAGCAUUUGAAUGACGCUAUAAACUGUUUUCUUUAAACUUUUGAUUGGUGUGACAUUAGU